AUAAAAAAAUCACCCUGUAUAUAUAUAUAUUCUAAUUACUAUUAAAAUUUAUAUAUUAACACGUUUUAUUCUAAUUAAGAGAUAUAAAGUAUUCAUUCCGAUGAUUUCCGUAUCGUCAUUUUUCGAAAUCGCAUUACCCCUCUCCAUGUAAUGACGACAAUCGUGUCCGGCACUACCGCCCCCAGAGAAAAACCUCGAUCUAUAUAAUAAAUUCAUCGUUCAAUUUGAUAAAUAUAUCAUUACUAUUGAAUCUAUGAUAUAUUUAUCAAUAUGAUAAUUUUUUUUCUUGUCUUGAACAAUAAUUAAUUAUAAGAAUAAUUAUUUUGUUCGUAUUAAUAAAACAUUAUCAUAAACCCUUGAUAAAAUUUCUCUAUCAAAAUUGAUCGAGGUUUUUCUUUGGGUGCGGCACCUUGCUGUCACUACGCUUGUGUACGCGAUUGAAGUUAUACCGAACCGUUUGGGUCUGAUGACUCGUGGCCAGCUCACUGGCAUAGUUUUCUUGUUGGGUUUGUGUCGGCCUGUAUGGGCGAAGCCCCAACGUACGGUUACUAAAGGCUCAAUCCAUAUUUGGAGUUGGUGUCCUUAGCGUCCGGUGGUGUUUCCUUUUCUGUGGUUCGUCGAGUUAGUGCGUCUUGUCACUAUAAAAUUAAUCGUGGCACUCAGGAUUGUUGGCGUCGGCCAAGAAGUAUUGUUGUGGAAAUCUCAAACAUUGCGAUAUCACGCGGCCGAAGAAGUGUCAAGUGGCUGGGUGAUGUUACUCCUUUUUCUUAUUACUUAAUGCUGUGCUCAUGUCAUGCCAGGAUAAUUACGCUGGAGAUUGUUGGCGGUCAUCUCUAUUGGAUUUAUUGCACAGUUUUUGGUAAAGCUACAAAAUUUUCACUUCUGUCGUACCCACGAUGUGUUGAUAGUGCUGUGCUGUUGGUUUUUUUUUAGCCAGUGCUUGCCCUCUCUUACUGUUCGUCAUUCCUCUAAAAUGCCUGUCAAACCUCGAUUCCAUAAGAUCUUGCUAUUCGACAACGGAUGAUGGUACUUUUCACGAUUACUUUGUGCAGUAGAAUGGCCGCUAUUUUCAUACGAAGGAAAAUUUUUGUGUAAAACUUCAGGAGCGCCGAGCGUAAAUUUGUUCCCUUAUGUCUAAAGAUAAUUUCUAAAAAAUUUGAGCUUUAUAACACUUGAUUAACUGGGUGCAAAUAAAGCUCAUAGUUUUGGAAAACUAUUUUUUCAGUGUUUUACAUUUUUAGGCUUUAGACUUAGUUUUAUGAAAAGUAUUAUUACAUAUAAUAAUGUAGCUAUUGUAAUUUUCUAUAAAAAAAACUUCUUACAAUUUCGCUUUUAGUUAAUACUUUUUGGUUAAAAUAAUAAAACUCGACAAUACUCAUUAAUUAUGAAAAUUUCCAACUAUUUGGUUUUUUUGUAAUUUUCUAGUUUAAUUUUUGCAUUACAAAAAAAAAUCUAAACAAAGCUUAUUUAAAAUACUAUUUUAAAUAAAAAAGGUUAUUGGAUAAUUUCGAUUAAAACUGAUAGUUUUUGAAAUAUUGAUAAAAAUAUUCAAAAUAAUUGCUCAAUACUUUUACAAAACACUUAAAACGACUUAGUCUGUUGUUCUCGAAGUUUAUUACCACUACAAGAUUUUUUGCUUUUAUUUACAUUUAUAUGUUAGUUUUAGGUAACAAAAUUAGACUUAUGAUUAUACAAUGCAAUUGAAUAGAAAUAAAUAUAUAAAUUUUUAA